rnacentral:rRNA from 1 species
UCUUUAGAUUUAAUUUAAGAUCGGGCCUGCCCAUUGAUUUAAUAAUUAAAAGGCUGCGGUAUUUUAACUGUACGAAGGUAGCAUAAUCACUUGUCUUUUAAUUGAAGGCUAGAAUGAAUGGUUUGAUGAAAAAUAAACUUUCUUUUUUUAAUUAAUUUUAAUUUAACUUUUUAGUUAAAAGGCUAAGAUUUUUUUAUAGGACGAGAAGACCCUAUAGAAGUUUACUUUAUUAAUUAUUUUUUAUUUUUUGUUUUUAAAAUAUUUUUUUUGAAAUAAAGUUUUGUUGGGGUGACAUUGAAAUUUAUUUGACUUUUAAUUAUUUUUUUCAUUAAUUUAUGUUUUUUUGAUCCUGAAUUUUGGAUUAUAAGUUUAACUUACCUUAGGGAUAACAGCGUAAUUUUCUUGGAGAGACCAUAUC